rnacentral:rRNA from 1 species
CUACGGGUGGCACCAGUGGGGAAUAUUGCACAAUGGGCGCAAGCCUGAUGCAGCAACGCCGUGUGAGUGAAGAAGGCCUUCGGGUUGUAAAACUCUGUCCUAAGGGAAGAAACAAAUGACGGUACCUUAGGAGGAAGCCCCGGCUAACUACGUGCCAGCAGCCGCGGUAAUACGUAGGGGGCAAGCGUUAUCCGGAAUCACUGGGCGUAAAGGGUGCGUAGGCGGCCUAGCAAGUCAGGGGUGAAAGGCAUUGGCUCAACCAAUGUAAGCCUUUGAAACUGUUGGGCUUGAGUGCAGGAGAGGUAAGUGGAAUUCCUAGUGUAGAGGUGAAAUUCGUAGAUAUUAGGAGGAACACCAGUGGCGAAGGCGACUUACUGGACUGUAACUGACGCUGAGGCACGAAAGCGUGGGGAGCGAACAGGAUUAGAUACCCGAGUAGUC